AUACGGAGGAUCCGAGCGUUAUCCGGAUUUAUUGGGUUUAAAGGGAGCGUAGGCGGACGCUUAAGUCAGUUGUGAAAGUUUGCGGCUCAACCGUAAAAUUGCAGUUGAUACUGGGUGUCUUGAGUACAGUAGAGGCAGGCGGAAUUCGUGGGGUAGCGGUGAAAUGCUUAGAUAUCACGAAGAACUCCUAUUGCGAAGGCAGCCUGCUGGACUGUAACUGACGCUGAUGCUCGAAAGUGUGGGUAUCAAACAGGAUUAGAUACCCUGGUAGUCCACACAGUAAACGAUGAAUACUCGCUGUUUGCGAUAUACAGUAAGCGGCCAAGCGAAAGCGUUAAGUAUUCCACCUGGGGAGUACGCCGGCAACGGUGAAACUCAAAGGAAUUGACGGGG
rnacentral:rRNA from 1 species